rnacentral:misc_RNA from 1 species
UACGUAGGGGGCAAGCGUUGUCCGGAAUUAUUGGGCGUAAAGCGCGCGCAGGCGGUUCUUUAAGUCUGAUGUGAAAUCUCGUGGCUCAACCACGAGCGGUCAUUGGAAACUGGGGAACUUGAGUAUAGAAGAGGAGAGUGGAAUUCCACGUGUAGCGGUGAAAUGCGUAGAUAUGUGGAGGAACACCAGUGGCGAAGGCGGCUCUCUGGUCUGUAACUGACGCUGAGGUGCGAAAGCGUAGGUAGCGAACAGG